AGUCGAGGGGUAUAGGUUUUCGGACCUAGAGACCGGCGCACGGGUGCGUAACGCGUAUGCAAUCUACCUUUUACAGAGGGAUAGCCCAGAGAAAUUUGGAUUAAUACCUCAUAGUAUAAUGACUCGGCAUCGAGAUAUUAUUAAAGUCACAACGGUAAAAGAUGAGCAUGCGUCCCAUUAGCUUGUUGGUAAGGUAACGGCUUACCAAGGCAACGAUGGGUAGGGGUCCUGAGAGGGAGAUCCCCCACACUGGUACUGAGACACGGACCAGACUCCUACGGGAGGCAGCAGUGAGGAAUAUUGGUCAAUGGGCGCAAGCCUGAACCAGCCAUGCCGCGUGCAGGAUGAAGCAUCUAUGGUGUGUAAACUGCUUUUGUACGAGAAGAAACACUCCUACGUGUAGGAGCUUGACGGUAUCGUAAGAAUAAGGACCGGCUAACUCCGUGCCAGCAGCCGCGGUAAUACGGAGGGUCCAAGCGUUAUCCGGAAUCAUUGGGUUUAAAGGGUCCGUAGGCGGUUUUGUAAGUCAGUGGUGAAAGCCCAUCGCUCAACGGUGGAACGGCCAUUGAUACUGCAAGACUUGAAUUAUUGGGAAGCAACUAGAAUAUGUAGUGUAGCGGUGAAAUGCUUAGAGAUUACAUGGAAUACCAAUUGCGAAGGCAGGUUGCUACCAAUACAUUGACGCUGAUGGACGAAAGCGUGGGGAGCGAACAGGAUUAGAUACCCUGGUAGUCCACGCCGUAAACGAUGGAUACUAGCUGGUCGGAGCAAUCUGAGUGGCUAAGCGAAAGUGAUAAGUAUCCCACCUGGGGAGUACGUUUCGCAGAAUGAAACUCA
rnacentral:rRNA from 1 species